UCGCUCAUGGUCAAGCCGCAACAGUGGUUGUGGUGAGGGUAGUGGGUAAAGAAGCACCGGCUAACUACGUGCCAGCAGCCGCGGUAAUACGUAGGGUGCGAGCGUUAAUCGGAAUUACUGGGCGUAAAGCGAGCGCAGACGGUUACUUAAGCAGGAUGUGAAAUCCCCGGGCUCAACCUGGGAACUGCGUUCUGAACUGGGUGACUAGAGUGUGUCAGAGGGAGGUAGAAUUCCACGUGUAGCAGUGAAAUGCGUAGAGAUGUGGAGGAAUACCGAUGGCGAAGGCAGCCUCCUGGGAUAACACUGACGUUCAUGCUCGAAAGCGUGGGUAGCAAACAGGAUUAGAUACCCUGGUAGUCCACGCCCUAAACGAUGUCAAUUAGCUGUUGGGCAACUUGAUUGCUUAGUAGCGUAGCUAACGCGUGAAAUUGACCGCCUGGGGAGUACGGUCGCAAGAUUAAAACUCAAAGGAAUUGACGGGGACCCGCACAAGCGGUGGAUGAUGUGGAUUAAUUCGAUGCAACGCGAAGAACCUUACCUGGUCUUGACAUGUACGGAAUCCUCCAGAGACGGAGGAGUGCCUUCGGGAACCGUAACACAGGUGCUGCAUGGCUGUCGUCAGCUCGUGUCGUGAGAUGUUGGGUUAAGUCCCGCAACGAGCGCAACCCUUGUCAUUAGUUGCCAUCAUUUAGUUGGGCACUCUAAUGAGACUGCCGGUGACAAGCCGGAGGAAGGUGGGGAUGACGUCAAGUCCUCAUGGCCCUUAUGACCAGGGCUUCACACGUCAUACAAUGGUCGGUACAGAGGGUAGCCAAGCCGCGAGGUGGAGCCAAUCUCACAAAACCGAUCGUAGUCCGGAUUGCACUCUGCAACUCGAGUGCAUGAAGUCGGAAUCGCUAGUAAUCGCAGGUCAGCAUACUGCGGUGAAUACGUUCCCGGGUCUUGUACACACCGCCCGUCACACCAUGGGAGUGGGGGAUACCAGAAGUAGGUAGGGUAACCGCAAGGAGCCCGCUUACCACGGUAUGCUUCAUGACUGGGGUGAAGUCGUAACAAGGUAGCCGUAGGGGAACCUGCGGCUG
rnacentral:rRNA from 1 species